AUUGAACGCUGGCGGCAGGCCUAACUCAUGCAAGUCGAGCGCGAAAGGCCUUCGGGCUGAGUAGAGCGGCGGACGGGUGAGUAACGCGUAGGAAUCUACCUGGUAGUGGGGGACAACUUGGGGAAACUCAAGCUAAUACCGCAUACGCCCCAUGGGGGGAGGCGGGGGACCUUCGGGCCUCGCGCUAUCAGAUGAGCCUGCGUAGGAUUAGCUAGUUGGUGAGGUAAAGGCUCACCAAGGCGACGAUCCUUAGCUGGUCUGAGAGGAUGAUCAGCCACACUGGGACUGAGACACGGCCCAGAAUCCUACGGGAGGCAGCAGUGGGGAAUAUUGCGCAAUGGGGGCAACCCUGACGCAGCCAUGCCGCGUGUGUGAAGGAGGCCUUCGGGUUGUAAAGCACUUUAAGUGGGGAGAAAGGCCCGUUGGUUAAUAGCCAGCGGGAUUGAUGUUACCCACAGAAUAAGCACCGGCUAACUCCGUGCCAGCCGCCGCGGUAAAAC
rnacentral:rRNA from 1 species